UUUUCCUGGUAGUACAGAGUACAGACAUACAGACACAGUCCUCCCCUCCUCCCCCGUGGAUCUUCACGCCGCCUGGGCGGUGGACGGUGGUGGCACUUUAGUUUUAGCGCCGGUCGCAUCUUUAGCGCAAACGUUUGCAACUACUGACCUGGUACAGCGCCCCGGCUUCACCGCCAUGUUUCAUCCGGACACCUGCUUUUUUUCCGAAUCAAUAACCGCGAGCCUGCAGCAUCAAAUUCUGGCGGAUUCUGCGUUCCGCAGGCUGUUUAGCGAUUACAUGCGGCUCAAUGUUAGCGUCGGUAGUGGGAAGCUUCUAGAAGAGAGCAGGAAGGAGUGAGGAUUGGGGAAGAAGACUUGGAAACGAGGAAAGCAGGGAGGAAGGCGAGGCUCAGAACUAGUGUCUUUGUCUGUUCAUUAAUUGUUCGAUACCUUCUUACAAUACUAGAGAGAGCUUAUAAACUACCACCCAGUCCGGCCAAAUACACGACCCAUUCGGACCCAAAUACUCAUGUGUUGUCUCGCCUCUACCGCUCCGUCGUUGUGGCAACGUCAGUAUCGUUGGUCAGCUUUUUCAUCUUCAGUGCUCCAUCUUCAGUGCUGGUGAGCUUCUGACGUCUUUCUUGUAUUGUUGCUGACAUUCCCCACUCCUUGAAAUACAGCUUGUCCCCAAGCUGUUCUUUGCAUGACCCCCAGGAUCCCAAAUAAAGACCGAGAAAUUGCCUUGGCUCACUAGCAACAGAAUUGACCUGACACAAACUUGUGCCCAUUGCAUAAGAACUGAUGAUGCUUUUGCUCUACUGCCAUGAAUGGACACUAGUUCAGCUCUUGCUUUUGAAGCACUCAUCCCUUCUCUGCUUAUUUCAACCGAACCAGGUCCUUGUUUCUUCGUGCUGCUCCUGUUGAUCUCGUUUACCGGUCGCUUCCUGCUUGUAGGAGAAGAGACAAUCUUGAUUUCCUUCCAUGUUGCCGCCUCAUUUGCCAUAGCCUCAAAAGGAGUCCGUAACACAUAAGCAAACUGUAAUAGCAACGACUGAGUCUGUGGAGGAUAAGAUGGCUGGGAAGACUGCUGGGCCUCCGAGUCCAACGACCAUAACUCCACAACUGUGCCACUCGGUAUUGUAUGGGACUGACCAUAUAAGACUAUGCUUGAGCCUUUGUAGGGAAUAGCCAACCAUUUCUGAACCCAAUCCACACGCAUAGAACUAAAUGUGGCCAGCCAAUCUAUGUCUACAACCAUAUCUAAACUGGGAAGUGGUAAAAAGAGCAGAUCAGACACAAACUCGUAUUCCUGAAUCUGCCAGUGGGCCUGCAACCACUGAUAUCGACCUGAAACAAUGAGGCCAUUGACCACUUGAACUUUCGUAGGAUAAGAGAUGGACUGAACCCUAGAGAGCAAUGGAAUUAAUUUGUCAUUGACAAAUGUGUGUUUACUGCCACCGUCCAGUAAGAUAUUCAGAGGCUGCUCCUGUAUGCUCCCUUUAAGUUUCAGAGUCUGAUGACUAGUUGUCCCUGACCAGGCCGAGCAGUAUACAGACAUGAAUAGUUGCUUUAGUCCAGAAUUAAUGAGAAAAGUGUGAGAGGAUCCGGAAUCAAUGAGCACCAUAAUAUCUUGAUGCUGAAUUUGAUCUUGUAAACGCAAUGUGGUAGCUAUCUCAGUGCCAGACCAUGCUGAAGAUAACAACACCAACAGGAGAUGAUCAGUGGUUUUAGAAACGACCUUCACUUCUUCCGGGGUUAACAACAGUACUGACCUCACGACAAUCCAUCCGUGUUUAACCAACAUUGCAUGGGUGCACAAGCCAAUCAAACGUGCAGCUAAACUCCCUAGAUCAGCAUCUUCAGAACAAAGACUUUGCUCAACCUUAUGUGGGACAGCUCCCUGAAAUGCUUCUGAAUGUUCCAUAGAAGGGAACAUUGAACUCCCUUCACCCACUGAUCUGACCAUUCGACUACAAUCUGCUUCCUCCACAGAUAUGCCCAGAUGAUUGUAGCCUACUCCAUCCACUAGUAUGUCUAACUUUCGGCCAUCUGCUACAUUACUCCAGACAAUGAAACAAGACUCCACCAUGUGACCCUUACAAUCCAUCAUCACCCUAAGAAUCUUCUCAAACUGACCGUAUUGUGUAGGUGGAGGCCAUGGUGGUCUAUGCAGUACUGCAUCAUCAAAUUUUCCCAACACGAUCUUGAUGUUCGCUGCAUCGAUCUCAGCUUGCAGGAGGUCCAAGCCAGCC
rnacentral:lncRNA from 1 species